UGUGGUCUCAGAUUGCAAAUAUCAGAAAUAAAUUAGAGGAUGUGCAAGAUACUGACAGGGCAGUCUUUUGAGGAACUCAUUAAGCAAGAGCUGGAGCCGGUAUCUCUAUUGAUAGAGGUCAGGAAUGCUGAAGAAGCUAUAAUCAGACAGAAAUCAAAAGUGCACAGUGGCUUAAAGAAGGAGAUCAAAAUUCUAGUUUCUUUUAUAAGUCAGUGGAGGCUCGUAAUGCUCGGAACUAUAUUCGAGUUCUAUAUGCUUCUGAUGGCAGGAAAUUGGAGCAAAUCGGGGACAUCGAAGAGGAAGCAGCAAACUUUCAUAAAAGUUUACUGGGAUAGGCAGAGCAGAAUGUGAACAGCUCGCUGGAAGGUAUUUUGUAGCUAAUUAAACUGUCUUUUCCUUCCUCACAGGCUGGUUUGUUGGCUUCUGAUAUUACUUAUGAAAGAAUACAGAUUGCAUUAUUUUCCAUGAAUGGGAAUAAGGCUGCACCUGAUGGUUUCUCAGCUUACUUUUUCAAAUCAUGUCGGAGUUUGGUUGAAAAUUAUUUUAUUGCUGCUGUUAAGUACUUCUUCGAGUCAGGAAGAAUGAGUAGGGAGGCAAAUUCUACAAUCAUUGCUUUGGUUCCCAAGAUGCCUCAGGCUGAUCAGAUGAGAGAAAUUUCAGGCCAAUUUCUUGUCGUAACACUAUUUAUAAAUGUGCUUUGAAAGUUUUGGUUCAUAGAUAGAAACAAGUUCUGCCUGGUAUAUAAGCCCCGACCAAUCAGCUUUUGUGAAGGGUAGGAAGAUAUCAGCUAAUGUGCUGCUCGCUCAUGAACUGGUUAAGAGUUAUCAUAGAGGCUCCAUCUUCCCCUCAAUGCCCUAUAAAGGUGGAUUUGGUGAAAGCAUUUAACGCAUUGCAUUGGGAUUUUAUCUUCCAUUCUAUGCAAGCUAUGGGGAUUCCUAUGAGAUUCAUGGAGUGGAUGCGGGGAUGUGUUACUUCAAAUUAUUUCUCUGUAUCAAUUAAUGGUUCACCAGCGGGAUAUUUCUCUGGGGCUAGGGGAGUGGGGCAGGGAGACCCCUUGUCUCCUUACCUGUUUGUCAUGGCUAUGAAGGUUCUUAUUCAGAUGUUAAACAACUCAGCUGCAGAUGGAGAGAUGGGUUAUCACUCAAGAUGCAAGGCAAUCAAGCUCACACGAUUAUGCUUUGCUGAUUACCUUUUUAUUUAAAUUGAUGGAUGGAUCUAAGGAUCUGUUGAUGCUGUGGUGAGAACUCUUGGAAGAUUUUACUGGUGGUCAGUUUUGAAACUUAUCACUGUAAAAACAGAAGCCUUCUGUGGUGGAAUGUCUGAAGCUGCAAUAGAGGAUCUGCUGCUGUGAAAUCCGGCAAUUUCAACCCGAAUAUAACUAAUUAUAUACGUUAUGUGUAUUUUAUAUGUAUAUAUGUUUAUAUAUUGCUGUUGGUUGACACCGCUGACUUAUAUAGGUAUUGAUAUAUAUCUCCAUUAUAUAUACACACACAUAUGACUAUGAUGCGGGCGUCUUGAAACCGAAAGGAAAAAAAAAAUGCUAAUGGGCUGAUAUGCUAGUGUAGACUUGGAAUUAGUAAGCCCACUAGGCCUCCAAUAUUCCCUUCAGCCCAUAAUUUCCACCGCCUUCCUCACCUCAGCAUUUUCAUUCAAUUUUUGGUCCAGAAGCUUCCCUGUUCGGGGAAAAAAAAAAUGAAAGAAACAGAGGAUGAGACACAGGGAGACAGAGAGAGCAAUAGACGGAGGAAAACGAGAGGCUGCUAUUGACAACCUUCUCGAGCUUCGUCGAGGUCAUCGGAGCUUCUGUUUUUCUAACUCUUGACUUCUAAUUGAUUUCCCAGCUUCUGGCCAUUGCCGAUUUGAUGUUCCUCUUGCUUGUUCUUGUUGGUUUGUCUUCGCUAUGAUGUUGAGGAGCUCGCGAAUGAGAGAGGCAUCAAAUGGGGAAAAGCUUUGCUGCAUCGCAUUAGGUUACAUGAUAGCUUAGCCAUGGGACCGCUGAUCCGGCGAGAUACAAAAAGGGACGCCUAGACCGCUAUCCGGCGAGAUACAAAAAUGGACGCCUAGAUCGCUGAUCCGGCGGGAUAUAAAAUGGACGCCUAAACCGCUGAUCUGGCGGGAUACAAAAAAUGGACGCCUAGACCGCUGAUCCGGCGGGAUACAAAAAAGGGACGCCCAGACCGCUGAUCCGGCGGGAUAGAAAAUGGACGCCUAGACUCCUACUGUCGGAGGAUAAUGAGCACCCCCCGCUUAUGAGAUAUGUUGAUGGUCACAAGCAAAUAAAUUAUUUGAGAUGUACCGUCACAACUCUGUUGCGAGAAAAUAUAACCAUAUGGCUAUAUUGAUUGAUUGUGCUGUAUAUUAUUGGUUUGAUCUGAUUGUUAUAGAUGUGCUGAUUGUUGAUGUUG